AUUUAUUACGGCGAUUUGUAUAUUGAUGCUACUACGGUGAACUGCUGGGAAACCUGAAAAGGAAAUAAAUUGUUAAUUAGAAUUUGGAUAAAGUGAUUGAGUUGAAUUAAAUCGGUUGUUGCUAGUAAAUUAGCGGAAGCUUACAGAAUUAGAAGCGGAGUAGGAAUAAUUGGAUUGUAUUGGAAGGAGGAAAAAACUACUCAUUUUUGAGCUGUGUGCAAUUCAACAUCGCACAUACGAAUCACCCAUCAUGUUUACAUUGCUUGCACUCGCGACUGACCUCGUGAUGAAGGAAGAAUUGACUGACCACGAAUGUGUCUCUUGCAUGCGAUGGCUGCUACGAUCUGUCAUGUGACUGAAGAACAGUAUAUUAGACUUGUUCGCGUUUAUAGGCCUGUCCAACGCCACACAACUCUACUCUUCUCUAAAAAAAAUAACGACUGGCAUCUAUGUUUAAAGAAAAAAAUACUUUACCGACAUAUUAUUAAUGACUAGCUUUAUGUACCCGGCCUUGCUCGGAAUUGCCAGUUUGGUUUGCAGUUUUCUUUUACAAUCGGAAAAUGAUAAAACCAAUUGAUCAACAGGGUAA